rnacentral:rRNA from 1 species
CCAGCUCCAUUAGCGUAUAUUAACGUUGUUGCAGUUAAAAAGCUCGUAGUUGGAUUUGUGGUUCCUUGCGCGGUCCAAAAUCUUUUGGUACUGUCGCGAGGAGCCAUCCUUGGGUGGAACCUGUGUGGCAUUAGGUUGUCGCGCAGGGGAUGCCCAUCGUUUACUGUGAAAAAAUUAGAGUGUUCAAAGCAGGCUUACGCCGUUGAAUAUAUUAGCAUGGAAUAAUGAGAUAGGACCUUGGUACUAUUUUGUUGGUUUGCGCACCGAGGUAAUGAUUAAUAGGGACAGUUGGGGGUAUUCGUAUUCCAUUGUCAGAGGUGAAAUUCUUGGAUUUCUGGAAGACGAACUACUGCGAAAGCAUUUACCAAGGAUGUUUUCA